CUUAAACGACCUACAAUUUUUGACGGUAGCUGUUAAGCUCUACUGAAAAUCUUUGUUGACUCCAUUUUCGAUGAAUAGAAACUGGUUACUUUCUGUUUCACUCAGUCCAAAUCAUCUUCGAAUUUUUCCUUGCUUAAAUUACAGUAAUUUUCCAAUCAACGUUUUGUAUACUCUUUUAGGCCAGUCUGCUACUUACAAUGGAGGAGCAGUGAGCCCUCACGUGGGUUUUGGAAUACAAGAGAACGGGCAGUAUUGUCGCAACGGAGCAAAUCCUGCUGGCUGUUGGAAUCCAGAUAAUGCUGGUCUUCAAGUUGUAUGGAAUAGUAACAACUGCGGGGCCAUCUCCACGAAUGGUCCAUUCUACUGCGGGAACAACGCACCGGACGCUCGGGAAAUCGUCAACGUUGCCGCCUCCGGAAACUGGCCAAACUGCGUUCUGACCCUCACCCGUAAAGGAGGAGCCCGUGGAUGUCAAUACAAAUGCUAACCAGAUGCUUUACAUCGGGACUUAUGGAUUUUAAUUAAUGGAACUUCAACGUACACACGGGCUACACUGACACAAACAACCAACGGCCGAUUAUUGAAAAGUGUUUGUCGGGCGGACAUACUGCCGUGCUAAGGGAAAACGCCGUAUGAACCUUCAGGCGUUGCCAAAUUUCCCUCAAUAAAAUGCGAAUUUACUGGGAAAAUUGUGAAUAUUUUUCCCCAAAAUUUUCAGACAAUUUUGUACGCAAUUUUAUCUAAAAUAUCCGAAAAUUUCAAGGAAAAAUAUGCAUAGAUGUUGUCAAAAAUAUGUCUUUUAACAAGGUAAAUUUGGCAACCCUCGAAUGUUCAUGCGGCGUUCUUCCUCAGCACGGCAGCAUAGAUGACAUGGGUUAAAUGGCGAGGCGUGAUUGGUCGGCUAUGUCUUAUCGCUGCUUUGUCGUGCCUUUGUCUAAGGUGGAAUGGACGACAUAUUGUCGGAAACUUAAGAGGUACCGACAGCUUAUAGUGAGUUCAACCCGACAUAGGAACGACAAAGCAGCGAUAAGACACAGCCGACCAAUCACGCUCCGCCUUUUAACCUAUGUCAUCUAUGUGCGUCUGACAAACACUAAAUUUCAAUAAUCGGCCCGCUGGGGUAGCAGAGCAAAACCAAUACGACUAAUUUAGCUUCAGCUUCUCAACUUCCGGGGAAAUCAUCUGUACAGCGGUUAAUUCGAACAAACAAAAUGAUAAAGACUUUUUUUUUUACAAUAUUUCAUGUUUUUAUUCUUUGCGUAUUCUUUUUGGUGUAUGUAAGAUUAAGUCCACUGAAGAUUUGGGUCGAAUACCUCUCAAAAAAUAGCCAAAAAUCGUUUUAAAAAAAUCCUUUCAGGCCGCCCUUUGCCGAAUUAAGAUACGAAUUUAAAGCCCAAAAAUGAAAAGAAGUGCCAUCAAAAAGACAUAGGAUCACCAUCAAGUGAUUGGAGCAGAAACGAAAUUGUAGACGGAAUCCAAAGAAUACUGGAAAAAAAACACAUUGGAUCUAGAGUCUAGACUCUUAAAAACAUCGACAAGAAAAAAUACUCUUGAUUAAAUCAGAUUUAAGCUUAUAUCAAGAACCAAGCCUCUUAAUUUGAGCGGAUCUCCUUUUGAUUUAAGCUUCAAUCUGAUUGAAUCAAGAGUCUGUUUUCUUGUCAAUGUCUUCAAGAGUCUGGACUCUUGAUCCAAUGUGUCUUUUUUUCCAGUGAAAGGCCUUUAGAGGAAGGGGAAAAAAUAUACCAAGUAAAGUCUUAUACUUUGACCCAGAAAAAUUGAAUUUCAGUUUAUUGUCCGUUUUGACCUAGGACACUUUGAAUACCGUUGAACUACCGCCAUAUAGUUAUUGUGAAAGCUUACUUUUGGAUAUGUAAUUUUUCGGCAUACUAAAAAUUUACUUUGUUCAUUUAGACUCCGUUUUCAAAAAUUUUCAGCAUUAAAAACUUAUUGAAUAGAAAACAUGCGGAGCGUAUCUUUAAAUUAUUAAAAAUAUUUUCAAUGGAGAUGAUUGAUAACUACAUUCUCUUCUUAUACUUUUGCUUCUCC
rnacentral:lncRNA from 1 species